AGGGAGAGGACGGACAAGUGCCGCUGGCGCAAAGCGACCAGAUCCCCUGUUCUGACAGCUGGAUCCUGGACGAAUCCAAACGCUCCCGGGAUCAGGCAACGACGCACUCAACCCGUCCAAUGUGCCAAACCGUCACGAGGACCCCGGGGUUUCUGACGCCACACGGGUGGACUGGGAAUCUCCGUCCUCGGCGUCCUCGGCCUUGGACUGUCCGUCGGUUACCGGAUCACUGUCAUCAUCCUCGUUUACGUCCUCGCUGGUGGCACCGGGGGUCGAGCUUGAGGACUCGUCCUUGUGAUCUUUCUUCCAUUUCAUCCUCCGGUUCUGGAACCAGAUUUUGAUUUGGCGCUCGGUCAGGCAGAGCACUUGUGCUAUCUCCACGCGCCUACGACGGGUCAGGUACCGGUUGAAGUGGAAUUCUUUCUCCAUCUCCAGUGUCUGGUACCGGGAGUAGGUCUGACGUCCACGCUUUCGGUUUGGAUCUACAAGAGAAAAGGGUUUCAAUCUGCUAGGUCCAAGAAUAAAAAUACUACAAUACUAAAACCAUGUUCUACACAAGCAUGACAUAUCAUGAUAUUGAUAAUGACAUAUGUGACAACUCUGAUAAUAUCAUGAUAUUGAUAAUGACAUAUGUAACAACUCUGAUAAUAUCAUGAUAUUGAUAAUGACAUAUGUAACAACUCUGAUAAUAUCAUGAUAUUGAUAAUGACAUAUGUAACAACUCUGAUAAUAUCAUGAUAUUGAUAAUGACAUAUGUGACAAUUGUGUGAUUUUGCAUUCAUGUAUUAUUUCUAUAGAAGUUAAUCAAUGAAUAAAUAAAAACAUGUUGUGCCUGUGACACAGUUUGUGCCUGUGACACAGUUUGUGCCUGUGACAUUGUUACUAAGAUGUCUUUCUCAAAAUGUUUUAGGACAGUCGAUGUUUUGCCUCAUGUAGCCUAUAUACACUUCAAUAAACUUUAUUUUUUUAAAGAC